UACGGGGGGGGCAAGCGUUGUUCGGAAUUACUGGGCGUAAAGGGCUCGUAGGCGGCUGCCUAAGUCGGACGUGAAAUCCCAUGGCUUAACCAUGGAACUGCGUCCGGUACUGGGCAGCUUGAAUCCAAGAGAGGGAUGCGGAAUUCCAGGUGUAGCGGUGAAAUGCGUAGAUAUCUGGAGGAACACCGGUGGCGAAGGCGGCAUCCUGGAUUGGUAUUGACGCUGAGGAGCGAAAGCCAGGGGAGCAAAC
rnacentral:rRNA from 1 species